AGGUUUCCUGUCUGCGGCGAUAGAUAGGUCAGGUGCACCCAUCUGCACUGGAACUGUGACAUGCAUAGCGACACGUUUUAGCAUUCAACAGUAAACACAGACAUUUGACACGUCAGCGCCGUCAUUUUCAGUAGUGCAUUUCUGAAACGACAAAAACGGAUGCUCUACGUGAUGUGAUUCAGUGGUGCUGUCGCCAGCUAUUUCUUCAGCCUCUCUUCUACUAGUGGGAUGUACAACCUGCUGGAUCGUGAGGAGUUGGGAGAGAACACUACUACAGGAUUGCCCUGUUUGGAGCUGCAAAGCUCCACACUGAAGAUUGGAGUAUCUGUCUAUAGGACCACUUUAAGCUGUACACUCCACAAAGCUGGGUGUCCAGAAAAAAAGCCAUUGCUUAAAGAAGAAAAUAAAUAAACAAACAGGUUUGGUGUUUGCCAAAAGGCAUGUGGGAGACUCCCCAAACAUAUGAAAGAAGGUACUCUGGUCAGAUGAGUUUUUUGGCCAUCAAGGAAAACGCUAUGUCUGGUGCAAACCCAACACCUCUCAUCUCCCCGAGAAUACCAUCCCCACAGUGAAGCAUGGUGGUGGCAGCAUCAUGCUGUGGGGAUGUUUUUCAUCGGCAGGGACUGGGAAACUGGUCAGAAUUGAAGGAAUGAUGGAUGGCACUAAAUACAGGGAAAUUCUUGAGGGGAACCCGUUUCAGUCUUCCAGAGAUUUUAGACUGGUACAGAGGUUCACCUUCCAGCAGGACAAUGACUCUAAGCAUACUGCUAAAGCAGCGUUCGAGUGGUUUAAGGGGAAACAUUUAAAUGUCUUGGAAUGGCCUAGUCAAAGCCCACACCUCAAUCCAAUUGAGAAUCUGUGGUAUGACUUAAAGAUUGCUGUACACCAGCGGAACCUGUCCAACUUGAAGGAGCUGGAUCAGGUUUGCCUUGAAAAAUGGGCAAAAAUCCCAUGGGCUAGAUGUGUCAAGCUUAUAGAGACAUACCCCAAGAGACUUGCAGCUGUAAUUACUGCAAAAGGUGUCUCUACAAAGUAUUGACUUUGGGGGGUAAAUAGUUAUGCACGCUCAAGUUUUCAGUUUUUUUGUUUUAUUUCUUGUUUGUUUCGCAAUAAAAAAUAUUUAGCAUCUUCAA